UACGGAGGGUGCGAGCGUUGUCCGGAAUCACUGGGCGUAAAGGGCGCGUAGGCGGCCUGAUAAGUAGGGGGUGAAAUCCUGCGGCUUAACCGCAGGGCUGCCUUCUAAACUGUCAGGCUAGAGCACAGUAGAGGCAGGUGGAAUUCCCGGUGUAGCGGUGGAAUGCGUAGAGAUCGGGAAGAACACCAGUGGCGAAGGCGGCUGUCUGGGCCAGUUCUGACGCUGAGGCGCGAAAGCGUGGGGAGCAAACAGG
rnacentral:rRNA from 1 species